rnacentral:lncRNA from 1 species
CAUACGUAUAUGUCCUCUUCCAGGUUCUCUUUUGUUACACAUUUUUACAAAACAAUGACUUUAAUUCCCUGUGCUAUACAAAGGGGCCUUGUUGUUUAUCUGUGUUAUAUACAAUAGUGUGUAUCUGUUCAUCCAAGCUCCUAAUUUAUCCCUCUCAUAUUUCCCCUUUGGUAACCAUAAGAUUGUUUUCUAUGUCUGUGAGUCUAUUUCUAUCUUGUAAAUGAGUUUGUUUGUAUCAUUUUUUUUUUUUUAGAUUUCACAUUUAAGUUAUAUCAUAUGAUUUUUGUCUUUAACUUACUUCCUUAGUAUGGUAAUCUCUAGGUGCAGCCAUGUUGCUGGAAAUGACAGUAUUUCACUGUAUUUUAUGGCUGAGUAGCAUAUACAAUGGUACAUCUAUCUAAACAUGUGUAUAUAUUUAUUCAUUCGUUGAUGGAUAUUUUCAUUGCUUCCAUGUCUUGGCAAUUGUAAAUAAUGCUCCUACACUGUUGGUGGGAAUGUAAAUUGAUGCAGCCGUAGUGGGGAGCAGUAUGGAAGGUUCUUUAAUGGGAAUUUGCUGUGUGGCUCAGGAAACUCAAACAGGGGCUCUGUAUCAACCUAGAGGGGUGGGAUGGGGAGGGAGAUGGGGGGAGUUCCACAAGGGAGGGGAUAUAUGUAUACCAAUGGCUAAUUCAUGUUGAGAUUUGACAGAAAACAGCAAAAUUCUGUAAAGCAAUUACCCUUCAAUAAAAAAUAAAUUAAUUUAAAAAAUAGAGUUAUCAUAUGAUCCAGCAAUCCUACUCCUGGACAUAUAUCCAGAAAGGAUGAAAACUCUAAUUACAGUAAAAAAUACAUACACCCUAAUGUUCAUAGGAAUCCAGGAACCUUGAUUGGCCUGUUCAUAGCUUCCUUUGCACCCUAGAUUCCACAUGUGUCCAAGAUGGAGAGUGUGAGGCUGAGUUUCCACCUGACGGCUUUGAAGAGAAACCAGAGAAAGAAAAGAAACAAACCAAUUUCACUUUGUGCAGUGUGUGUAACAUUCAGCUGAAUUCAACUGCUCAAGCCCAAAUCCACUACAAUGGCAAAUCACAUCAAAAGAGAUUAAAACAGCUCAGCACCGGGCUGGUGAAAAACGACACUGAAAUUCAGGAUAGCAGAUUCCCAUCACCCAUCAAAACCGUAAUGUCUGGAGUUGGACUGUUGAAAUCUCAACACUAGACCUGCAACCCUUUGUUGGAUCGUGUGCAAGUUAUUCAGCCUAAUUGAUGCUUUUCAACUGUGGUGCUGGAGAAAGCUCUUGAGAGUCCCUUGGACUGCAAGGAGAUCCAACCAGUCCAUUCUGGAGGAGAUCAGUCCUG